rnacentral:rRNA from 1 species
UACGGAGGGUGCAAGCAUUAAUCGGAAUUAUUGGGCGUAAAGGGCGCGUAGGCGGAUGUAAAAGUCAGAUGUGAAAUUCCGGGACUCAAUUCCGGAGCUGCAUUUGAAACUUUAGAUCUAGAGGGAUGGCGGAGAAAACGGAAUUCCACGUGUAGCGGUGAAAUGCGUAGAUAUGUGGAAGAACACCUGUGGCGAAAGCGGUUUUCUAGCUAUAACCUGACGCUGAGGCGCGAGAGCAAGGGGAGCAAACAGG